rnacentral:rRNA from 1 species
GACGAACGCUGGCGGCGUGCUUAACACAUGCAAGUCGAACGGAAAGGCCCUGCUUUUGUGGGGUGCUCGAGUGGCGAACGGGUGAGUAACACGUGAGUAACCUGCCCUUGACUUUGGGAUAACUUCAGGAAACUGGGGCUAAUACCGGAUAGGAGCUCCUGCUGCAUGGUGGGGGUUGGAAAGUUUCGGCGGUUGGGGAUGGACUCGGGGCUUAUCAGCUUGUUGGUGGGGUGGUGGCUUACCAAGGGUUUGACGGGUAGCCGGCCUGAGAGGGUGACCGGGCACAAUGGGACUGAGAUACGGCCCAGACUCCUACGGGAGGCAGCAGUGGGGAAUAUUGCACAAUGGGCGGAAGCCUGAUGCAGCAACGCCGCGUGCGGGAUGAAGGCCUUCGGGUUGUAAACCGCUUUCGCCUGUGACGAAGCGUGAGUGACGGUAAUGGGUAAAGAAGCACCGGCUAACUACGUG